GGGCAAAUCCUGUAGCUUGGACUUUAUACGGGCUUGUCGCGUCCCAGUAUGGUGAUGAUGUAAGACUGGUGAAACUAUCCGAUGGAAUUCAGUCACUUCCAGCAAACCUUUUGGUGAAGAAUGUAUUUGGAUACAGGCAUGAUUUCAUUGGGGUUGCUGGUUUUAUGGUUGUUAGCUUUAGCCUGCUGUUUGCAGUGAUUUUUGCAUAUGCAAUAAAAUCAUUCAAUUUCCAGAAGAGGUAAUUUGAAGGAAAUGAAGAUGAUACCACUCAAUUUAUAAUUCACCAAUUAUGGUCUUGGAUGAUUCCUUUUAUACUAAGCAACAUAUAGUUAAUUAACUAUAAUUUGUCAUUCCAUUUUUUAAGAAUUGACUU
rnacentral:misc_RNA from 1 species